UGGGGGAGAAGGUGGGCUGGGGGGCCUGCCUGGGAGAAGGUGGGCAGGGGAGGAGGAGGGCCGGGGGACACCUGUGGGGGAGAAGAUGGGCUGAGGGUCCCCUCUCUGGGAAUGUGGGCUCUGGGGAGGAGGGCACGGCGACCCCCUCUGGGGGAGAAGAUGGGCCGGACACCCCUCUGGAGGAGAAGGUGGUCUGGGGGACUUUCCAGGAAGAAGGUGGGCAGGGGGAUUCCUUGGGGGAGAAGGUGGGCUGGGGGACCCACAGGGGAGAAGGCGACCAGGACCCCUGCCAGGAGUAAGUGGGCUAAGGAGACCCCCUGUGGGGGAGGAUGGAUGAAGAACCAAGCCAGGGCAAGAUGGGCCAGGGAAUUGGGGGGGGGUGCAGGGAAGGUGGGGGAGCCACUAGGAAAGAAGGCGGGCUGAGGGCACAGGGGUAGACAGGCCCUGGAGACCCCUGGAUGUGGGGUGAGACCCUCAGUUUGUCCUUCCCGCUCAGACGGCCAAGGAACAGCUACUUGGCUCCAGUUCUCUUCCUACUCAGCAGAGGGACAGGGGGCAAUCGGGGCUUUCUGCUUUUCCUCCCUGCCCCUUUUCCGGCUGGGUACAGCCAGCCCUCCCACACAGGAUCCUUGACUGUCCUGAUGCUCAGCCCCCAGAGGGGCGCCAGGAGCACACUGGCACAGGUCAGCUCUAUAAAGAGUGAUUAUGUGGAAUUAGAGCCCCGCCCCCAUCCCUGGUCAGAGCCCCCAGGUCUCCUGUUCAUGUCAGGAUUGUGGCUGUAGGACAGCAGGGGCUAGAGGGGUGGGCGAGAGGUGCUGUUGCCUUGCUCUGUACCCUGCAGCCUCAGCUGGUGGUCAGGGUCAGGGUCUGUGGUGGGGGGCGGGCUCUGAGGGCUCCCUCCUCGCAGCCGCAUCCGUGCUCCUCUGGGGUGCCGGAGCACAGUGGCUCCUGACGUGCAGAGGAAGCCUGCAGGUGUUGCAGCGCUCGGCCCCCUCCUCCUGGGGAUGCUGACCGCCCAAGCACCGUUCCAGCCUGGACGGAAAGCCUGCUCCAGGCCGCCCGCAGCGGCAGACCUGACAGGCAGGUGCUCACCUGAGGCCUGCAGCCUCUCAGGGCCACCUGUCCCAUUGCAGGCAGCUCAGCGGAGGUGCUGCCUCCUCUUGAGCCAAAACUGUUCCCCAGCAGAUGACCCCUGGACCACAGCCUGGCAGUGCCCGUGGCAGGGCCUUAGCUGGGAGGCACCAGCAUGAGGAGUGAAAAGGCUCUGGGCGACAGAGGGAGGGAUAAGCUCCCAUCCCCGCCCCCCCCCCCCCCCCCCCCCCCCCCCCCCCCCGCCCGCUGUGCUGGCCAGCAUGUGCAGCACCUCAGCGCCUUCCUACCUGAAUUGCAGCUGUCACCCUCCCCUCCGGAGUCCUUCUCCCCGGACCUGGUGCCCACGGCUCUGGGAAGCACUGUCCACCAUUAACACCCUGGUGCGAGUUAGUGCGGAGGAGCAGUGCUGAGUCUGUGGGGAGGCCCAGGGCGCCGGCCUGGGCACCGCUCCGUGACCGUCCCCUGCAGCAGUGCUGUGGUACUCACACCAGCAGUGUCCACCUCCACCCCUUCGUGGUCUGGCAAGGCCCCUGUGGCGCAGGGGAGGCCUUCCAGACUGGGCAGCCCUCCUCCCACACUUCCAUCUCCUUGUUUACAAACAAGGCCGGCUUCACCAGCAUUUAUCAAAGGCUCACCAGGGGCUUGCUUAAUUCCGCACAGCAGCGCUCCCCCCACUGCCUGCGAAGCACUCAGCAUCAGCCCUGGGCCGCCCCCAGCGCCCCCCCCCCCCCCCCCCCNCCCCCCCCCGGCUCCACAGACUGGUACACAGAUGGGUGCCAUUCUCCAGAGCACUGAGGCUGGAAGCAGCUCGGUCCCUCCUGGAGGAGUCAGCCCACUGGCGGGAGGGAGGGGCAGGCCAGGAGCCCGGAUUUCCCCAGGGCCUGAGGCCGUUCUGGCCACCCUGCCCUCCCCGUCUGCACCUGUUCACCGCAUUUGGAAGUGUCCACAGAGAUGCUUUCCUCUUACUCGAAGCUCCUCCGAGGCUGCGGACUGACUACAGACUAAAGACGCCAUCUGCUGAAUGCCUAGAGAGUUCUAAGAGCAGUACCUUGGGAGACCUGGACCAAACUGAUCUGAUCCAGAACCCACUGAAAGGAACAGUGACCCAUGGGGACUUUGGAAACCUUCUGUGUUUUCCUGCUACGUAUGAGAGUACCCUUCUUGUUGACCAUCUCUAGGAUGGCCCUGUGAUGGUUGGAAGCAGUGAGUUUGUAGACAAAAGCCCCUCAGCCCAGUGACUAUCUAAUUUACCAUCCAAAAGGGUGCUGUUCAUAAAACACCAGAACAGGGCAAACGGGCUGCUCUGGGAAAACCAGCCCCAGGUGACACUUAUAUAACCCACACCUGGGCCAGGCCGGUCUGAAGAGAUGGAUCUGUACAAAUGCCAGGAGUGGCCGCAGUGUGAUGAGGCCUGGGUAGGUCUGCUGGGUGCCACCAGCGGCUUUCUUCAUGAGCUGCUGGUGCCUGCUGGGCACAGUGGGCCGAGGCCAUCCCAGGCACCGUCCUGAACCGCCUAGCGCUCUGCCUGGGUGAUUUCCACCCAGCCCCCAGGUUGUCUCUCCUGGAGUGCCCGAGAUGUCACCUGCAGAGUCCAGCAUACGGCACAGGGUGAAGCGCCUGGUGCAGACCUGCUGUGGCCCGUGUGCAGGUCCGUGGGGCCCGUGACUGUGCUGGGGAAGCUGUGAGGAGAGGAGUGGAGGCCCAGCCAGCAGGAGCCAGGGGCCCUUGUGGCAAGUGCAAAGCAACCUCUGCAAGGCUCACUCCACCAAGUAGGGAGUAAGGAGCAAAGGGGAAGGGGCAGUAAAUCAGCCAUUGUCCAAAGAACUCACGGCAGAAAAAGAUCACCAGAGGAGAGAGCUGCUCCUGAGGGGACCACACCAGGAGAGAGCUGGCGUCCUCGCACCGGCCCACAGAGGGUGCUGAGAGGGCCCCUGUCAGAAGCCAGGAAGAGACAAAUGGCAAGGAGGGGUGUCUGCAACUCCCUUUGUACUUGCAGGUGCUAACACGCAUGAGGUGCAAAUAGUGAAUUAGUUCUUAAAAUGUUUGCCCUGGACUCGGUUUUUAGAAUCCAAAAAGCCAGGAUAUUAACAACCGGUUGACUGGAUCAUGGACAAACGGAGGGCACAUUAGCGUACAAAAGGAAACGUCACCCUCAUGGACAACUGAAGCAAUGCAGGUGAAAACCAGAAACCCACUUUCCUGUCCCACUGGCCAAGAGCGGGGCUGGUCAGCCCUGAGGACCAACACACCCUUCCCUGGGCCUUCCUUCCAGUGAGAGGCUAAUCCCCACAGGGUGUGUGCGCCCACCUCGAGACUGCUCCCCAUCUCCCAGGUGCCAACAGCACCCAAGAACCCUGUGCAACCGUUUCUCCCCUCCUCUGUGGGUUCUCUCUAUCCACUGCUGCCUGCCCUGGACCCGAGCCCGACGUUGCUCUGCAGACCACCGUCGUCCCCAGCCCUCGCGGCCCUCCCUGCCGCACGCCCCUAGCCCUGUGUCCCGUUCCUUGUGUUCUUAUCUGAUACGGCCUCAAGUACACACACCUGUACCGCACCCGGAAACCUAAGUGCCAUGAAGGUGUCUGGAGCACUGGUACAGCCGCUGUGUGGGCCUGGGUCCCAGCAGGGUGCGGUGGCGGGAAGACCCCAAAGGGUGUUGGGCGCAGAGCUGGGCUCCGCGGUGCCAGGUGCAAUGCUGGGCAGUGAUGCUGGGCGCGGUCGCAGACCCGUCACCAAGGUGCACGGGGCCUGGAGUCCGCUCUAAGUCCCGCAGACAUCUGAGCGCUGCGGAGGAGGACGGAUGCAGGUGCGCCCGGAGGCGCGCAUCACGAGUGGUUUCUCCGUUCCUUUCUGUCUAGCUGUACUCUGAAGUUACUACAAUAAACGUGUUACUUCUGAAACAGCCAAAC